CAAAUCCUGCGAUGUUCGUUUCGGUUUUAUCGUGUUUGAAACCUUUGAUUAUGUUUCCAGGGAGUUCUACAUUGCAGCGCGGCUGUCAUGCCCUCGAAAAGGGACUUCAAAAGCGCUGCUGCGGACACCCACCUGCUAUGCAGGUUUCGAAACAUAAAGACCGGACGGCAUAGGCGGGUUUUAU
rnacentral:other from 1 species